rfam:Schistosoma rodhaini strain Burundi genome assembly, scaffold: SROB_scaffold0015355
GCACUGCUGAUGAGUUCUACAAUAGGACGAAACGGCCAUCCAGUAC